UAGCACAGCGUCUCUCAGACAGUACACUUCGGUAGUGCGCCACUUAUGCCUCCACCGUCGUUCGUUCCGCAGUGCCCUGUUUUCGUGUGUUAACUCGACUGUUCGGGGAAUCUAAAGUGCUUGUGUGAUCUACAGUUUGUCUUCGUGCUCAGCAACUUGCAUCAUCGUGGAACGGGAAGAGACAAAAAAUUCGUGGCUGAAGCUGAGAGGCAGCUAUCGAGAUGCACGACGACGACAGGUGAAAUAUAUGAAAAGCGGAGCUGCUGCUGAGAAUAUCAAGCCGUGGAGAUAUCAAAACCAGAUGUCAUUUCUUGAACCUUUUAUGACAGCUGGUCCACGUGAUAGUAAUCUAGGUGAUGACAGUGAUCACAGCUCACAAGCUACAACUAAAACAUCAGCAAGAAGUGAUACGCUGGAAACCGAGGAAUUAGAAGAUAACAACUCACUCGACAAUGAGGCGAAUGAGCAAAGUCAAGAUAUUAAUAACUACGACAGCAACGAAGUAUCUAGUAGGAGCAUAGGAACGGAGUGCAUAGCACGUCACACCGCUACUUCAACUCCAGUUAUUCAAAGAAAUCAAUCAAGGAAAAGAAAACAGGAAGACGUUGUAAUUCUGCUAAAACAAUCAAUGCAACAGCAUGAGGACAGAGCAAGACAAAGAGCAGAAGAAAGAAGAGCGUUGGACUCACACUGUAUCAAAGAUGACCCUCUUUACAAUUUUUUUAUCUCUAUGUAUCAGCUGACUAAAAACAUGCCUCAAAGUUACCAACACAGAAUCAGAGGUCAACUUUUCCAGGCUGUGUCACUUGCAGAAGAAGAAAUAAUGAACGUAAGGAGCCAGACACCUUCGAUGUCAUCUUCUUCAAAUAAUUCAGCGCCAUACAGUACAGCACCUGUUUCUCACUCUUCAUCGCCAUAUAUAUCGACUGAUUCACACUAACAGACAGCGUCUCACUAUUCAGAACAGCAGCAGAUGGAAGAUUUGAAGGUCGACACAACUGAAUCCGGUUUGUCUAAUAUCACCGAUUUUG